GAUGAACGCUGGCGGCGUGCCUAAUACAUGCAAGUCGAGCGAACAGACGAGGAGCUUGCUCCUCUGACGUUAGCGGCGGACGGGUGAGUAACACGUGGAUAACCUACCUAUAAGACUGGGAUAACUUCGGGAAACCGGAGCUAAUACCGGAUAAUAUAUUGAACCGCAUGGUUCAAUAGUGAAAGACGGUUUUGCUGUCACUUAUAGAUUGAUCCGCGCCGCAUUAGCUAGUUGGUAGGGUAAUGGCUUACCAAGGCGACGAUGCGUAGCCGACCUGAGAGGGUGAUCGGCCACACGGGAACUGAGACACGGUCCAGACUCCUACGGGAGGCAGCAGUAGGGAAUGUUCCGCAAUGGGCGAAAGCCUGACGGAGCAACGCCGCGUGAGUGAUGAAGGUCUUCGGAUCGUAAAACUCUGUUAUUAGGGAAGAACAAAUGUGUAAGUAACUAUGCACGUCUUGACGGUACCUAAUCAGAAAGCCACGGCUAACUACGUG
rnacentral:rRNA from 1 species